CAGCCAAGGGCUCUCUUUUGUCUCUGCUGUGAUCUGCAGGUGCUGCUUGUUAAUGAAUGCAAAGAACAGCCAGAGACUGCGGGAGCCUGCUGCGGCUUUGCAGAUCAACUGUCCACGCACAGAUCCUGUCUGUGAGCUGAUAAAGCUUUGUAACUAGAAGGAAAACAGCAAGCAGCAUGGGAUGCGGAAGCAGAAGGCCUGUGUUCUGGACGGACCCUGCUCUGAUGGGUGUGUGCUCCAUGCUCCUGUACACUUGCUCAGCCUCUCCUGUUCCUGUGGAAGUGGGGUGCUGCCACAGACCUGUGUGGAGGACGAGUCACUCUGCAGGCCCACAUCUCCUGGCAGUGGCUGGCUAUUGGACACCUACUGCUGGAGGGGUGCUCAGCGUUUGGGAAGAUUUAGCCAUGGGGCAAGAAAGAAGGAUUUAUUCUAGGAUCACAGGACUUCCCUCUUUGGAUCUACUUCCCGUGGAAAUCCCCGUAAAGAUCGUAUCUUGUCUCCGUCUGCUGAGGCAUAAAGAAAAAUGCCAUGAAAGGAGAGCAGAGGAGAGGUUUGGAAAACACGGAAGAUGCUUGCACGCAGAGGAUCUCGUGCGGCUAAAGGAAGACUUUCAUCUCUCCCUUUCAUUUCUCCGGGGAGGGUUAGCUGCUCCCAGCUUUCAAAUCCCCCUUCAGCGACUGGGUUGCAGCAACUGGCAAAACUGCUUUCAUGGUCUCGGAAGCGUCCCUGGAGCUCCGAGAGGCCAAUUCCUGCAAAGGAGCCCUACCAAUCCAAAGGCAGUCCCACGCUGCAGAGCGCGAGCAGGCAGUGAGAGUGCCGGCCUGGGAGGAAUGCUGCGGCAUCCCAGGUGCACUUUACAAGGGCAAAGUCCGACCCCGUCUCAGAUAUCAAAGUCGUGCUCCAUGCAGCAUGGCCCUUAAAAAAUUUAUGUUGUGUUUAUCAGCUCGGGCAGGUUCAGCGCCGGGGCCACCGCUUGGCUAAUUACUCCUGCGCGGCUGCCCUUGCUCCCUCCCUUCCGGUCGCUGCAGCCAGGCCUUAGGAUCCUGAUUGUCCCAGGCUGUUCCUUGGACAUUUAUGUGUUUUUCUGAACUGGAAGUGUCCCACCGUGUAGCUGCCUCGCUCCUCGGGCUGGAGUAAGAGCUGUUUUGUAAGCGCCUCGUCCUCCACAUCUCCUGUGCUGGGGAGGAGCGGGGGACCCUCUCUGCUGUCCAGCAAUGAGGAUGAACACCCAGCUCCACCGGCGAGGCGAGUUGUCCUCCUUUGUGUGGUCUCUCGUGUCUUUUAUUUUACACAGAACACAUCUUUAUUCAAUCCUCAAGUUUAACAGAAGUGACCCCCUCACACACUCCAGGUUCACAUGACAACAGAAAGGGUCUUUCAAUAAACUAAGAGUAAAGAUCUGGGUUCACGGGGUGGGCCUAGGACCCACCCAGCUUUGCCGGCCCAGUGACCAGUGGCCAGUGGCCAGUGGCCAGUGGCCGUGCCUUGCAGGAAAGCAUCAGGGUCCUGCCCAGUACAGGAGGAGAAGAGAGGCGCUGGGGCUGCUUCCUGGGACUUGGCAAAUCUCCCUGCCCUGCACGGCAGUUGUCGGUGGCACUGGGGCCCUGCUUUCUGCUUGGGUGACAUGGCUCUUCCAGACCACCUCACAGCACACAGGUUAAGUGCAGCAAACCCAGACACAGCCUCGCCCUGCUAACUGCCAACCAGUGACUUCAGCAUUUAUGGUCAAACCAUCAUCCUACCCGUGGAAACCUCUGCUCCCUGCCAAGGCUCAUUUCAUUUUCCUUCUUUCUUAUGCAGAUGAGCAGUGGUGGAAAAUGUAUUCUCCUCACCAGAGUCACCUCCCGGGGCUGCCUGCGUUCUGGAAAACUUGAGCUGAAGUUCGGGUCCGGUCACCUGGUCUGUUUUUCUCUUCCAACUCACUUUUAACAAGGAUAGCCUUUACUUUUAUUUUCCUCUUUAUUCUAUUUUAAAAUGUACAUUACGCAAACAUUCCAAAAACACUAAGGAAAUUCUAAGUAAAAGGCAAGAAAACAAAUCCACAAUUCCAUUAGUAAAACAAACCAAGCUGUUUUCAGGCUUUGUCACCGACUCAGAGCGACGCAAACACGUAGCUUUGCCAGCAUAACGAUGGCAGAUACACAUCCUGGCAAGCGCUGUGUUCUAACUGCACAUUCUAUAGUAAGCUUUUUUUUUCCAUGUCACCACAUAGAAUUUACAUUCGUCUUUUUAUUCUCUGCUUAUCCAGCCCAUUGGGUAAAUAUAAUUGAUUUAACCGUGUUCCUACACUAGUUCAGCACAAAUGGCUUCCAGCUUCUUGUUAUCAUAUAAAAACACCACUGCUUUUUUCCUUUGGCUCAUUGCCUCAUGGUAACUUUCUAAGAGACCCCCCUCUAUUUUUGCUUUAAACACAGAGAGGUGAACCCUAUUUGCUUUUACAAUGUCUUCCUUGGUGGGAGUCCCAGCGGGAACCUUCUCUCCAGGUGUCUGGGGCUGUGGGAGAUGGACGGGUGGAGGAGGGGCCGGCCUUCAUAAGGAAGUGGAGAAAACUCACUGCACAGUUAAUUAGAAAGGGCCAUGAAGCAAGUCCCUACUUUAUGGCUUUCCGAGAAUUGAUGACGGUUUUUCUAACCAGGCCCGCCUGUUCUCCCGCAGGUGUGUGCAGCUUGCUAGACCAUAUGGUUUUUGGCUGUCCAAGGCCCCUUGCUUGAAUCAAUCCACGAUCCUGUAACUGAAUAUCAGUUAAUAACUUUUCAUAACAAUGUAGCUUGGAUCAGCUUGUAGGUCCGGCCAGAGCCCCUGUACAAAGCGCUGUCUUUUUUCAGGCUCCUGCUGCCUCUUUGGCACACCUGGGGAGCUGCAGCCCCACGGCCGUCCCCAGGGCCAUAGCAAUAUUCUAGGCUCACAGAGGGCCAGCUGCAGGUUCAGCAAGUGAGGAGGCCUGGGCACAUGCUUGUUCUUCAGCUGUAAUUUGUCUCUCUUGAGAUCUGCCAGGAGGGCUGGGGUCCUGUGACUUAAAUAAAAAAAAGAGCAAGAGCUUUUGACCACAAAAUAUUGUAGGGUGAUUUUCAGCACGCAGGCAAAAUCUGACUUAGUGUGAACUGAUCUACACGCAUCCCUGAGAGGCUUGGGGGUCGUGUGGGAUCUUGAGAAUGGCUGGGCCAGCCCUGUGACCAAAGGAAUUCUCUACCUCCCUAUCACCUGUGGGAUUUCUUCCUCUUCUACACCCCCACUGCCCCCAUCUCCUGCCCAAAGAGGUUCUGCUGUCUUUCCCUCUUGUCCCCUCUCCCUGAUGGCAGUGCCUGAGGGAAUGGAUGGGAGGGAGUGAUUCCAGGCUGCUACCAGUCUUCUGCAUCCAUGUGAACUUGUUCUUGUGCUGGAGUGGCCGUGAGCCCCAGGGAGCUGGGCAUCCCUUUAGCCCCACUGUAAUCUCUGAUCAUCAGAAACCCUUCUAAGCCAUACUCGUGCUUGGGUCUCUGCAGUCGUAUUGCCUUGAAAUUAUUCAGCUGAGAAUUAGAAAUGUCCUUGAUCAUUAAGAUAAACAGUUAUUGGCAAAUGUCUUCAGAGCUUGUACUUGGAUCUUCAUGUAUGGCAAGAUCCCUACCAUUUGAUGUGCAAUUGGCAGGGAGAAGGAGGAGGGGAGAUUUCCACGAGCCCAUGAGUAUGUCUUUCCUGGUGAUACCAAGCACAAAGAUAUCCCACCUGCCAGGCAGCGGGUGAAGGGCAGCAAGCAGCUUUUCAACUUGGCAGCCAAUGGAAAGGGAGAGAUGGAGCUAGGAGACGCAGGAGAGAAAUGGGCAGGUGGCAUCGUUAAACUAUGAACAGGAACAGCCAGACAGGAAGCGAGUCAGGGCACAGAGAUGUCCUGGAGUUUGUCUUGGCAGGAGGUCCUAACCCCUGCAAUGUCCUCAUCCCAGCUGGACCCAGGCCGACCAGAUCUCCCUGCACCCUGGCCUCGGAGGCAACGGAACCCAAGGAGAGGGUAUGGAUUUGUCAUCUUCACUCAAGCUGUAUCCCAGCAUCCACCACAGAGCCUGGCCAUGCUCAAUCGAUAUGUAUUGGAUAUUAAAAGCUGGUGUUUAUUUGUAGUGACUUAGGGGCCAUGCUAACCACUUGACUUGUGUUAUAUCAUUUAAUCUGUAUAAUAACCCUAGAAGUGAGAAUAGAUUAUUAUCCCCAUUUUUAGAUCUGAAGUGGAGGCACAGUGAGAUCAGAUGCUCUGCCCAAGUCUUCACUGCUAGCGAGAGGAGAGCUGGGACUAGAACCGAGGCCCAGGCCUGGCCUCUGCUUAGCAUCCCUGCUAUCACUUGGCCGUGACCCAGGUGCCUGCCAUUUUUGUUCUAAGAGCCAGCCUCAGGAACAUCACAGAUCACACCCUCAGAGCCUGAUCCCGGGGCAUGGCGCUGCCCUUCUGGGAAGAUAUCUUCACCCCAAAAUGAAGCUGAGGAAAAUCCGACUGAAGCCUAAGCCAAAUGGAUCAAAACUGGAGCACUAUUUGGGGUUCUCGAUAUUUCUAAACUCUAUCCUCUUAAAUGGAGCUCCCAAGAAAUAAUGCCUGAAGGGAACCUCAAUUAAAUUCUAUGCUGAUUCUUACGACAUCCGCCCUCCACUUCUGCCUCCUUCCCUCUCCUUGAGUUUGUUCAAGAGCAACAGAUUCUGGCUAAGGUCCGGGCAUGGCGGGGAAGCGGUCCAACCAUCUGCUGAUCACUUCUGAAUGAUCUGGCCGACUUUGCGGCACAUCUUCCUCCAGUUUGCCCCUUGGAUCCUAUGAGUGGGGAUCAGAUCCUUGGGGAGGCUCUGGACCCAGCCAUCAUAGUUGCCUUGGUUACCUUCUAGCAGGGAUCCAGGGGAGACCCAGAACUAACCAAGAUUCUUGUGAAUUGGGAGAAGUUCACAGGCAAAAGUCAGAGUGAGAUAAUCACCUGCUUUGCUCCUUUUCUCUCCAGGUCAAGUGCAUCCAUCUUCUGCUGUCUGCUGUGGGUCAGGAGGAGGGAGACAUCCUGGAGAAACCACUAACAAGGAAUUGCUUAAUGCAAGUGCCUUGCCAGACACAUUAGCAGGGAAGGGUGGCUCAGUCUUCAGACAUAUUUAUGGCAGGAUGUGAGGGGGAGUGCCUCUAAAAGUGUGUGUGGCGUGGGGAGUAUUAAUUCUACAAGGCACUCAGCCUUUGCACACUGGAAAGAGGCAGCCUUUCGCUCACUAAGCAACACAGCCCUGGCCAUGGCAACUUCCUGGCAAUGCAGUUUCUCUCUUAACACCCACAUGCCUCAAACUUUGUCUUCAUUCUAUUUAACAAAUGUGUGUGCAUGUUGCUCAGUCCCUGAGUUAAACUCUGGCUUAAAAAUGUGGGGAGUGUCUUUAGUUUAGGUUGCAUACAGUAGGGUCUUACAAUGAGCAGAGUGUUCAGCCAUGUCUGAUGUGGCAUGUGUGUAGCAUGGGUGCUGUGGAGCAGUGAUGACAGUGCUGUAUAUGUGUAUGGAGUAGGUAUGAUUUGUGGCGUAGGUGUGACAUGAUGGCAGGGAUGGUAUUAAGGUGGUGGCAAUGGUGACACACGUGUGUGCUUGUGUGUGUGUGGUGUGAUGGUGCAUAUUUUUUCUAUUUUACACAGUGAGGCAGCACUUGAUGGUAGACAGCAAAACAUCCCUCACUCUGCUGCUCCUGGUAUACCUCUGCAGCACAGGUAAAGUCAAGCAGACGUGCCAAGUUGGGCGGAGAAAACGUUAGUUCACAGGUUCUCAGGACUCAUCGGUAGGGGAAUGAUGAGUGGUCACCCUUGGUUGCUUGUCUUACACAAGAAGUGAGUGAGGAGUCUUUGUUAGGGGCUGGCCCCAUAUCUGAACCUGUGCUUCCCAGGGUCCUCUAUGGUAGACUGUGGCAUUUUUUGCUCUGGUGCUACCCAUCACCUCCAACUGGCAUUCCUAGCACUGGGCUGAGGCUGACACGUUCUGGGCCCACUGGGGCAAUAAGGGCGGUUAGCACUGACCUUCCCCAAGCAAGGUGACGUUGUAAAGAUGGCAAACACUAGAAAGAACCCAUCAUUCCUACCCUGUUAGUGGCGCCCAACCUUCCUCUGUCCAGCUCACAGCCUAGACCCAAAAACCCUGUUUUGCUAGAUUCUCAACUCUUCAAUUUCCCCCUAUUUGCUGGCAUUUUUCAAAAAUUGUGUUCAGUUUGCAUAAAUGUCCAGAACAGGAAAAGAUUUUUACUUUUUGAUGAUUUAUUUUUUUAACCAUCCACAUUAUCAAGUUACCUUAUUUCUUCUAAUUAUUUGUUAGGAUUUGGAGCCUGAAAAAAUAUCUUCUUUGUCAGGAUUUGACUGUUUCACCUUGUGAGAUUUUAUAUUACAGGAAAUUCUGAUCAUCUAAUUUUGUCCAUUUUUAAUGUAAUUUUAAAAACCAAAACAUUUGUCAGUCUCUAAAUUCUAAGUUUAAUUUGAAAUUUUAUGACUUCAUCAGAGGAUGUCAUGUGUGGAUUUUUGUUCCCCAAAUAAUUUGCAUACCUUUAAUUGGAAUUCUCUAGAUUUUUUUGGUCAGGGAUGUUAUUGCUGUUCUUUUCUGGGAAAUAAUGUUUUACCGGAUUGAUUCUCUAUGUUUCUUACCAGUUGGCUCAUUGCAUAAUUCUCUUUAGUUUUCUAGUGAGUAAUGAAAAAUGUUUGUCUUUUUUUAAUCUCUGUAACCUCAAGUGUACCUUUAGUCACUAUUUCUUUCUAACAUGAAAGCAAUAUUUAGUAGUUUCAGAGUCCAUCUUCUUAGAUCUCUAACAUCUACAGAGCUCAAAUUUUUUGUUUUCCUUGUUUCUCGGGGGCCAAAAAGUUAUACAAGGAGACUUUAAAACCAUUGUGGAAAAGCAAAAUAAAAAAUAAGUUGAUUUGGGUGCAAAAAAUUUUUUGAAAUUUAUAUAACAUUUUUUUCAAGACAUAUUUUCCGUGAACUUUCAAAGUAUUUAUUCUGAAUCUCAAAAUGGUCCUUUGUUUUGAGUAAUUUUUGUCUUUUAAAAAAUCUACUUAUUUUAUUUGAAAGGCAGGAGGCAAAGAGACAGAGCAACAUCUCCUGUCUGUGGGUUCACUCUCCAAAUGCCUGAAGUAGCCGGGGCUGGGCCAAGCUGAAGCCAGGAUCCAGGAACUCAAUCCAGGUCUCCCAUGUGGAUGGCAGGAACCCAAGUACUCAAGCCAUCAAGGUGCACACAGUAGGAAGCUGGAAUCAGGAAAAGAACUAGAACUGGAACCCAGGUCAUGUCGAUAUGAGAUGCAGACAUCUCAAACAGGGACUCAACUACUGUGCCAAGUGCUGGUCCCAGUUUUAUCUUUCCUAUGUCUGAUGAUCUCCCCUUUUCUCCUUUCUCCCUUCUCCCUUUCCUUUGUGAUUUAGUGUUACAGGAUGAAUAUAAUUUCAUAGAUUCCUUUCUUCCUUCUCAACUACAGAGAAAUGUCUAUACAUGUCCAAUGUCCGUUGUGAAGGUAGAUUAUAUCAAAGUUCAUGAAGAUAUUUGUCCCAAACUUUAAUUUCUAGAUAAAGGGAGAUGCUCAACAUACAUAAGUAUAUGUGCUAUAUAUAUGAUAUAGAUAGGAUGUAUAUUUAGGCUACUUCAAUUAAACUGAGGGUUCCCAUUGUCCAUGAAGCACAGGAGGUCAAGAUCAGCAGGAACCUUGAGGCAAGGAAGUUACUCCUUAAGAAGCAUUGCCUUGUGCACCUGCCGUGGCAACUUGCAGUCAGCUCUUCUUGUUUCCUGGGUGAGGGCAGCACUGUCUUUCACAGUUGGCUGGCUCUCCAGUCGGCAUGAAGUGGCUUUGUGGGAUGAUCCCCUGGGGAGCUGCCCCACAUGUGGGGUUUUCCCAGACCUAUUGGACUUACAGUCUGCCUGCCUUCAAGACCCCAUCCCACUGACCUAGAGGUUGUAUUUCAGUGUUGUUAGUGGUGACAGUCACUUCCUCUUAGUUGUAUUUUCUCUGUCACACGCUUGAAAGAUUGUAUUUUCAAAAUGGUUGUAUGUCAUCCUCUCCCAGAAGUUUGUAGCCCGGGAUCUGGCCUUUGAGAACAGAAUGCAGUGGAAGUAACACUACGUGACACCCUUGCCAGAACAUAAAAGGCAAUAUGGCUUCCGUCUGGUUAUCCCUGUCUGUCUCUCCUCUCUCCUGUCUCCUCUCCACCUCUCUCUUUUCUGGAUACAUGGAUCUCAUGAGCCUGAGCUGCCCUCUAGUUCCUGUGCUGGAAAAACCUCAUGGGGAGAUCACACAGAGACAGAGAGAGAUGUUCUCUGUCCAGGGUCUUCCCGGCACAAACACCGGAUGAGUGAAUGAACCAUCAGACAAGCUGGUACCUCAGCCUUUCAGCUGUUUCUGACAUCUUAUUUUCAUUCUUUUCUUAUUUUAUUUCAUUCUUAUUUUGAUUUCUUUCUUGUCAUUUCAUCAGGGUUAUGACUGAUGAGAAGACAAAAAUUUGGCCACAAAUUACUACCUUGAGGGCAAGCCUUGUGGCACACUGGGUUAAGCCACUACUUAGGGUGCCCACAUUUCAUAUUGGAGUGCCUGGCCUGAGUCCUCACUACUCUACUUCUAAUCCAGCUUCCUGAUGGAGUCCCCGGCUCUUGGCUCUGCCUGGCCUAGUCCCAGCUAUUACAGGCAUUUGGGGAGUGAACCAGCAGAUGUGAAAUCAGUCUCCCUUUCUGUCUCUGUCUCUGUGUCACUCAGCCCUUCAAAUAAUUGUCUUUUGUAAAAAAAUUGCCACCUCAGACUGAAACUUGUGGUUUAGUUUCCAAUUGAGACACUGUGCUAUUUCCAUCAGACACCAUCCUUUAUCUACACAUCUGUGUCAAUCGGUUUGUCAGAUUAGCUGUUGUCAUUGAGUUACGCCACCCUUGGCUGGGCUCUCCCUCUGGCCCUGCCUGCAUGUACACACGGUAUUAAUUUAUAGUUUAGGGGGAUUUCUAGGUGUUCAUCUGCUUGAUCCAUAAGACAAGCUACUUCCAAAUGUUGUCAAUCUAUUGAGGCAGCUUGCCACAAAAUAACCAGAGAGUGUUGUGUAAAGGAAAGCAAAGAUAGCAAUAGUUUCCUAAUUCAUGUGGAAUCAACAACUCUAAGAUCACCAGAAUCUAUAAACACAAUGUCAGAACCAAGAUUGAAGCUCCUAAAGAGUUAGAGUUUUACAAAGUGGGAACUGUUUUGUGACUAUCUUCCAUCUGAGUUGACAGAUGAUAAUAAGAGUUUAAAAUAUUUCUGAAAUUGCUCCAUGUUUGUGAGUGAUUUUCAUUGCCAUCCCACUUGACUGGUGUCAGAAGUGAAACCUGAAACAUUUUUUUUUCCAUCCUGACCAGCACCUUUUCCAGGCAUUCUCUCUUUCAGCGAAAUAUCUGAUUGGGAGGCAGAUUGUUUAGUCUUUGGAGAAAAUCAGCUCUCAAGAGGAGGGAUGGGUGAGGAAGAGAACUGCCUGGCAGGAUAGAGAGGGCACACAGAUCUGAGGCUCAACUUGGACUAAAUCUUGGUACCGGCACUUCCAGGUUUGUGGUCUCGGGUCAGUUACCAUCUUGGAAUGUCAGUCUCUUCAUAUGGGACAUUGACGUGGUGCCGUGCCAAUUUGCUGGCGAUGCCAUAGGAAACUACCAUGGCUAUGUGGCUUAAACAACCAAAAUUUAUUUUCUCACAGUCCUUGGGGUUAGGGGGCCAAGGCCAAAGUGCCCUGAGCCCUGAGCUUGCCCUGAGCGUCUCUCCUUGGCUUACAGAUGACGUCUUCCACGUGUCUUCUCAUGGCCUUCCCUCUCUGUGUGUCCUUGUGACCAUUUCCUCUUCUUACAAGAACGCCAGUCGUACUGGAUUAGGGAUCACUUCAGGAUUUCAUUUUAAUUGAAAGACCAUAUGUCUAAGUGUAGUCACAUUCUGAGGGGUUGGGAUGUGGGACUUCAAUAGGAACUUUGUUAGGGACAGGAUUCAGUCCAUGACAGACACCUGUCCUAAAGCAAAGUUCUGAAAUGUUGGAGAUAAAGUGCCAAGCACACAAUAAAGAUGCUAAAAAUGUUGGUUCUCUUUCUGCCUUCCCUUGGUUCCAGAUUUAUUUGUCCUUAGUGGUAAAAGAGAAUGUAUUUUUUUUUUUUUAAUUUAUUUGCUUGAAAGUCAUAGUUAUACACAGAGAGAAGGAGAGGCAGAGAGAAAGAGAGAGAGAGAGAGAGAGAGAGAGAGAGAGAUCUUCCAUCCGCUGGUUCACUCUCCAGGUGGCCACAAUGGCUGGAGCUGUGCCAAUCCCAAGCCAGGAUCCAGGAGCUUCCUCCAAGUCUCCUACACAGGUGCAGGGGCCCAAGGACUUGGGCCAUCCUCUACUGCCUUCCCAGGCCACAGCAGAGAGUUGGAUCAGAAGUGGAGCAGCCAGGACUCGAACUGGUGCUCAUAUGGUAUGCUGGCACUGCAAGUGGCGGCCUUCCCCCUACACCAGAGCACCAUCCCCCCACCCCGCCCUUUAUUUAUUUACUUGAAAGAGUUACACACAGAGAGAAGGAGAGGCACAGAGAGAGAGGAGAAUAUAUUUUCUUUAUUAGCAAUUUACCUUCCUCCUUUUACAAAAAAAAUAUAUUUGAGAAAUCGCAGGAAUAUGAUCAACCUUUUUUUUAAGAUUUAUUUAUGUAUUUAAAAUUCAGAGUUACAUAGACAGAGGAAGAGACAGGUAGAGAGAGAGAGAGAAAGAGAGAGAGAGAGAGAAUCUUUCAUCUGUUGGUUCAUACUCCAAAUCGCCGCAACAGCCAGGGCUGAGCCAGGCCCAAGACAGGAUGCAGGAGCUUCCUCCAGAUCUCCCAUGUGGGAGUAGGGGCCCAAGCACUUGAGCCAUUUUCCUCUGUUUCCCAGGCACAUUAGCAGGGAGCCAGACAGGAAAUGGAGCAACUGGGUCUUGAACCAGCGCCAUAUGGAGUGCCGGCAUCGCACAUGGCAGCUUUACCUACUAGACCACAAUGCCAGCCCCAGAUGUUCUUUCUUAUAUUUCCCCUUUUCAAAGACCCUAAGUCACUGGCCUCGAAAGGAAUUGCUACAUUUUUACUCCUGUUUUCUAGAAUUCAGAUAUGAUGACUUGGACUGCAUCAGCCACACAGAGUCCAAAAGAUGAUCUUGAGAGGGGUGGGCAUUGUGGUGCAAUGGAUUGAGGCACUGCUUGGGAUGUGCGUAUUCCAUAUUGGAGUGCCUGGAAUCAAGUCCCAUUUUGGCCUCCACUUCCAAUCCAGCUAAUUUCUGCUAAUGUUCUAGGGAGGUGGCCAAUGUGACUAAAGGACUGAGUCUCUGCCACACACGUGGGAGGCCCAGGUAGAAUUCCUGGCUCCUGGCUUUUGCUUGGCACAGCCCCAGCUACUGUGGCAAUUUUGCAAAUGAAACAGUGAAUAGAAGAUCUCUCCUGAUCUCUAUCAGUUGCUCAAAUAAAAUAAAAAAAAAAAAAAAAACACUAAUGAAAAAAGAGAUGACCUUGAGGUUGAAAAUAAAGAUAGAGGAGAGAAAAUAUAGGAGACACCCAGAAAACGGAUGUUGCUGUAUAGAGGCCAGCUACCUACUCAAGGCAUCACGUUACAUGAGAGAAAAAAAGUCUUUAUUUAUGCCCUUGUUAUUUUAAUCAAAAGUACUUCCUAACUAAUGUGGAAUUUGAGUUUAGUUGACAAGUUUAAGGUACAUGUUAAUAAACGAACUUAAUGUAUUUAAAAAAUAAACUGACUUCAUGCCUUUGAAGCUUACAUCCAGUGUCUUGUGAUUGACUACAGUGAAAGUCCCAAUGGGUGGACACAAAUUGGUGUUCCAGAAAGUAAGAAAGGGACUAUUGGACAGAACCGUAGUGAGCACGGAAGCAGUUGCUAUGUGAGAAAGUCAGAUCACCAGUCAGAAGAUGGAGCAUGCAUUGGCUAGUCACCAGCUGAACAGAUCUGGAAAAUAUUCUGAGUGAAAUGGACAUGCACGUUCCAAUUCCCAUUUAAAAUGUCUGAUGCUGCUUAAAGAAAGGAGAGUAGUGACAAAGACAAGUAUAGAGGCAGAGAGACCAUUUAGGAGGCAUUGACUUACUUAAGGCAGGAGAAGCGUUGACUUGGACCAAAGUGAUGGCAAUGACAGUGAAGAAACUGGUCAAAUAUAUGAACUUAUUUUGGAUACAGUACCCAGCAAGACUUCCAGUUUAUUUGGAUGUGAGGUUAGGCAGUGGUAAGAGUCAAGGAUGAUAUGUAAUUAUCUCAUUUUAAAACUGUCUGUGAGGGUGGUGCAAUGUAAGAAGAGGUGGCUAGAAGGAGAUCCUUGUAUUUAAGAGACAGGGAGAGGCCGGCGCCGUGGCUCAAUCGACUAAUCCUCUGCCUAGCGGCACUGGCACACUGGGUUCUAGUCCCGGUCGGGGCGCCGGAUUCUGUCCUGGUUGCCCCUCUUCCAGGCCAGCUCUCUGCUGUGGCCCAGGAGUGCAGUGGAGGAUGGUCCAAGUCCUUGGGCCCUGCACCCCAUGGGAGACCAGGAGAAGCACCUGGCUCCUGCCAUUGGAUCAGCGCAGGUGCGCCGGCCGCAGCGCGCCAGCCGUGGCGGCCAUUGGAGGGUGAACCAACGGGAAAAGGAAGACCUUUCUCUCUGUCUCUCUCUCUCACUGUCCAUUCUGCCUGUCAAAAAAAAAAAAAAAAAAAAAAAAAAGAGACAGGGAGAUAGGAUUAAGAGGUCUCUGUGGAUGCUUAAAGUUUGAGAUGCCUGAAACAUGAGGGGACUUUGAAAGGCUUGUGGGAAAGUGGAAUUAAAAGAUAACCUUAUCUUGGUGCUUGGAAAUUGAAAUCUCUAAAUUUUUUUUCAUAACAUACAUUUUCCUGGACUUGUAGACUUCUCAUCUAAGUGUCAAUAUUGGGUAAGCAGUUGGCUAUAUGAGUCAAGGCUGAGAGAUUCAAGCCUGAGAUGCAAAUGUAGAAAUCAUUGGUGCAAGACGGCAUCAAAACCAUAGGAGUGAAUGAGAACACUGAAGGAAAUAAAUAUGGACAAAAACGACAUUCUGAAGUGGAGCCUGAAGUGCUUGUUUCUUUAAAAGUUGGGCUGAGAAGGAAGAUGUGGUAAGUAGUCCCUUAAGGAGUGGCCACUGAGAUAAGAGGAAAACCUGCUGAGUCCCAGAAGCCAAGGGAAAGAAACAAGAAGGGAGGGGUUGACUGUGCAACAUGGGUGCAGGUUUAAGGACAGGAGAGUAGAGUGGUCACUGGGUUUGGCAAGAGGGGGGUUUUCUCUGAUGGAGGCUCGGGUUGGUGAAGAAGUAAAGGGAGAAAGUGGAGACAAUUCUCCUGAGUUUCCUUAUAAGGGGAAGCAGAGGAGUGGAGUGGUAGUUAGACUGAAAUAUAGGCUCUAAAAAGGACUGAAACAUUUAGGAGAUUCCAAGUGUGUGUGUAUCCAGUAGAGAGAGGAGAGAGAGAACGAGAGAUGUUAUACAAGAUAAAGAGAAUAACCGAUCUCAUGAAAUCCCCAAGAAGAUACAGAGCACAAGGGGGACUCUGAUGGGAGAAGGAACAACUUAGCUUUGUGUUUUCAUUCUAUUGCCAAUGAUGCUAUAAAGAUUGCCUCAAUAUUUAUAUCAAUUUGUUUGCACACUUCUAGGAAAAGAUCGCCAUGAUCAAGGUCACGCACAUUUUUUAAAGGUUUUCCACACAGUUGUAAAUCUGCAUCCAGAUGUAUCAGGUCAAUUAAUGGGAACUCAUCUUUUUUAAAAAAAAUUGACUUAUUUGAAAGGCAGAAUGAGACAGAGAGAGAGAGAGAGAAAGAGAAAGAGAGAGAGAAAGGUAGAGAGAGAGAGGAAUCCUCCACUGAUUCACUUCCCAAAUAGCUGCAACAGGCUACUGUCUGUAGCCCGGAGCCAGGAACUCCAUCCUGGUCUUCCACAUCCUGGUCUCCCUGGACAGGAAUCCAAGAACUUGGGCCAUCUUCUACUGCCUUCCCAGGCACAUCAGCAAAAAGCUGGAUCCUAAGCAGAGCAGCUGGGAUUCAAACUGGCACUCCAGUAUGGGAUGCUGGUGUCACAAGUGGUGGCUUAACCUGCUGUGCCACAGUGCCCACCUCAGGAUAAUCUCAUUUGUACCUUACAUUCUCUGAUAAACCUUCACUUUAUCAUCACGGUGAUUUUUCUUUUGUAAGUGGCCAGUUAUUAUUCUGUUCUUUUGCUUCUCUUUUGACCUGGAACAUUGGUGAUCUCUACACUAUGUGCAUAUAAGCUUUUAUGUAUUAAUAGUUGUUGCCUUUGUCACAUUUGGGAUACACCCAUUUCACAGUUCUCUUUAACAGUUUUCCUUGUAGUUUCCAUUUUUUUACAUCUGUACAAGUUCCCAUGAGGGUUUACACUUUUUCCAUUUUUUUACUCAUUUUUCCUUUGUGAUUCCUUCUGUUGAUUUUAUCCUUAAAAAGUAUUUGUUUUCUCCCAAGAAACAAUGCUUACAAAGUGAUUUUGAAAGGAUGAGAUGCUGUGGUCUGGUUUGCCCUGCACCUCAGUACUGUGAACAUCCAGCUCUGAAAUGGAGCAGUCCACCCAGCCCCAGGAAAUGAAACAUUCCCAGCGAAAUUGCAUCAGAUUUCAUGUCUGCUAAGCAGCAAACAACAAGACUCAACUAAUCUACAUCAAAACAAUUGGCCGUAGAAACCUUCACAAAUGAAACUUUUGUAAUUUCAGAAGCUAAGCCAAGUAACAACCAACCCACAUCAUAAAGCCCCAAAUGCUGCAUCAAGUUACCAAUUUUCCAUGUCAUGUCCUCACCUCACCAGGUUAAGGAUCCUGUACACAAUGACGACUAUUUCUGGAGGACAAACUAAAACCUCUCUAAGGCACCAAAGUACUUCAUUUGUGAAUGAGCACAUGAAAUGAAGGUGCUGAGUGCCAGAUGACCUUACUGAAAGUGAUGAAGAUCUGUGUUGGCAGAAUGGUUGAAAUGGCCAAUGGGAAACCAAAGAUGACACAUUGUGCACAGAGAAGAGUGAUGCUUUACCGCACAUCUGUAGUCACUGUUUUUGAAUGUUGAGUUCAACAGAUAGUGCAAACGCUUGGGACUAGCGAAGACCAGAAGAAUUUUCUUCACUCUUCUUUGCUGUUCCAUCAAACCAGGCCAUUGACUGUUAGUUAUGGCUCCAGGUCAGAGAGGAGUAAGCAGUGCCUUUGCUUAAGCCUUUAAGAAUGUUCUGCCUUCUCUUGUUUGCAUUUUGAAGAAACAGUUUCAAGGCACCUAUUUUUAAAAGAACAAACUAUUACAUAGUUGAGAAUGAUUUUUCAGACCUUUCAAGUCAUGGGGCCUGUUUGGUCAGGAUGUCUAACAGAACAAGCUUCUCUGUGGGAACUGGGUCUGUUGCCUUCUUGCCUUUUAAAGUCAUUAACAGCACACUACGCAAUUUGGAAUAUCCUGCCCGUGACUCAGCUAAGUUUUAUUGUUUUGUUUAUUUUCCUUUUCAUCUUCAGCUUCUUCCUAUUUGAGGAAUUUAAAAACCUUCUUCCUAAAAGUUUGUCCACUGCAGUUGGAUUUCAGCAACCUAGGGAAAGUUUCCUUCGUUUGGGCAAGUUCCAUUAGACAACUGGUGAGGGUGUCUCACCUGACUGUGAAUGGGCAAGUUUUUCACCUGGGGUCACACACUCACAGAGGGUCCAUUAGAGUCUGGGGUUGAUCCUUUCAACAGCGGACAUAGAUCAUAACAGAAACCAUAGGAAAUCUGGCAAGUAUCCAUAGCCUUUCAAAUUUUCAUGUUUGUCUUUGGCUCUUAAGUGUUGGGAAGUUCCAAAUGAUCAGGGUGGAACAAACUGCUGGGGAGGAGCAAUGGCGAGAGCAUUCAAGAACAGUAGGUCUUAAGUCUGCACUGGAGCAGUGGAAAGGACAAAGGGCUGAGGGUCAGGAGGCUCAGAGCCUCAGCUUGGCACUGCCAUUGAUGAGAGAAUGAAAUGAAUUGCAUCUCUCCUGGCCUGCAGUGCCCUCACUCGUGUGACAAGGGAGGCUGUCCAUUCCAAGGAACAGCCAAUCUUGAUCUGGGCUGAGUUAAUUCACUGCCUGUGAUGGUCAGUAAAAUUGUUCUGGGAUAUGGACACUGCCAUUUUUGUCUUGUUUUGUGUUUAAAGUUUUAUUUAUUUAUUUGAAAGGCAGAGAGAGAGAGAGAGAGAAAGAGAGAGAGAGAGAGAGAGAGAGAGAGAGAGAGAGAGAGAAAGAGACUUAUUCUAUCUACUGAUUCACUCCCCAAAUGCCCAUGGCUGGAUAGCUGGUCCAGGCCAAAGCCAGGAGCGCAGAACUCCACCCCUGCCUCCCAUGUGGGUGACAGGGGUCCACUGCCUUCCUACAUGCAUUAUCAAGAAGCUGGAUCAGAAGUGGAGCAGUGGAUUUGAUGCCGGUGUCACAGGUGGCAGCUUAACCCUCUGUACCAAUGCCGGCCCCAGCUAUUUUGUUUAUCCGUUGCCUAUGACUGCUUUCCUGCUACAAAGGCAGAAUUGCCCCAGAAAGCUUAUGGUCCAAAAAAUCUAAAACGUGUGUAAUCUGCUCCUUUACAGAAAAUGUUUGUGCAAUCUUGGUCUGAUGGAUUUCUACUAUCCAAACUCUACACUCUGUAAUUUCUCUAUAUCUUGAACUUAGUAUUGAACUGCUUCUUUAAGCACGCUAUAUGAACUAUGUUCCUUGUUAUCUCACAAAUUGGGUAACUUUUUAUUUUCACUCUGAAGGCCAAGAUACACAUACUUGACAAUAAAUAUAACUUGAAGCCAAAGAAUCGGAUCUUCCAGGAAAAGGUAAACAAGAUGGAAGAUGAUUGAUAUGAAAGCCUCGAGUACUGUUACUAUGGAUUCAUUCUGAGAGGAGGAGCAUAGUGGGGGCAAGAGGCACGGUGUCACCACACAGACACUGGGAGUCAGGUGAAAGUGGGCCAGAGGUGAGCAGCCCUCAGACUCGUUUAUUUCAGUUGGUACAGCAGCCUAUAUAGCCAAGGCAGCCAAUCUGGUCACGGGGCAGUUUAUGUCCUAACCAAUCACAGCCUGUUGCCAGGCAGGUUCUGUUGCCAGGUGGGUUUUGAAGCCAUUCCUGAGUAACCGACACUUGUUUGCCAGCAGCCAUCUUAGCACGGCCUUCUCAUUCCACCACAGAGUACAGUGUCCUUCAUGAUUUGUUCCUAUCUCACCUCUCCAGCUUCACCACUCAUCUCUGUAUCUUUGCUGGCCCCUUCCCAGGCACUCUGAGCCAUUCUACUUCCUUUAACAUAGCAGGCUAGCUAUUUCUUGUCCAGUUUUUCAAUGAGUUUGGAUUUCCUCAGAACCACUCCUUGAGAUGAGGAUUUGAGUGUCUCUAGUUCAGUUGGGAGAUAAUGCCAAAUGAAACAAAAAUCAAAAUGUUAGGGGAGUAAGGAAGUGAUACAGAAAAGAGAAGGUGAAAAAUAAAGGAAUCGUCAGGAAACAAGUUAACCCUGGCAGGUGAUAGAAAUUUGGCUCCUUGGUGAAUCUGGUAGCCAGAACACACCAGGCCAGGGUUAUCUUGCCUGAGGGUGGUGAGGAAGCUGGAGUAUUCAUACAUCAAGCCCAUUAGUCAGUGACAGAAGGCUCCUCUCAGGGAGGGGAGGGAAUGAGUUCAUUGGCGUGUGCAGUGAAUUUUGGGGCUGAAGAAAGCACUGUGGCAAGGAGCAUGGAUCCUGGCGUGGGGAGGAAUGUUGGCCAUAGUCGGGGGAGGAGCUGAGGGUGACUUUUUUUUUUCAUAUCUCCUCUUAGAUUCUCAGAUUUGAAAGGCGCUGGAGCUGGAAAAGCCGGGUAUGAGGGAGGGCAGGGUGAAAGCAGCUGGAAGCUGGUUGUGCUUUUCCUGCUCAGGGAACUGUAGUGCAGCGCCUCCUUGUCAACCACUUUGAGCCCUCUUGUUCACGGCGGCUGUGGAGCCAUCAGACCCUUACCUGGAGGAUCAAGGAUUCAAAGGCAGGUGUCCUCCAUGAGGACCCGCAGUAAGCUGUGUCGCCUUUUGAAAAUCUGCCCUCUGAAGUCACACACUGUCACGUCCACUGCAGUGCCCAGCACCACAGAUUCAAGGAAGGGAGUGCAGAUCCCCACCACUCCAAGGGGCAAGGGGCAAAGUCAUGUUCUGGGAAAGGGAAUGUCGUUGCAGCCGUUCCCAGAAAAUGCCGUCUUCCGUGCCCUUGUCCUGGUGAUGUUCCGGAGAUGCUUUUAUACAUUUUUCUUCACAUACGAACAUUUCACUUCACAUGGAGACACAUCCGAUUUCUCAGGGGACUUUUGAAUAUUCCUGGGUCUCUUAAUGGUCAGAACUUCGGUUUGGUUUUAGCAGGAGUCUCAUUAUUCUACCAAAGCUAUUGAACAUACUUAGAGCUCACUCUGGCAUCGAAACUGACUUGGGAUAUGUUUUAGCUUAUUUCCAUUUACAAGAUGUGUCAUACAAUGAAC